AUUCUGAGUACAUUGUAGGCUUAGAGUUAAAUCAGAAAACAUAAUAAAAUUGAUCAAUCUACGCAACUUCCAAGGUAAAUCGUCACACAAAAGUAAUUCAAGCUCAACAAAACACAAGUUCUAAGGUGAAUAGACACACAAAAGUAAUUCAACUUCAACGAAACACAAGGCUUAGAGUUCAACCAGAAAACAUAAUCAAGAUGGUCAAUCUACGAAAGUUUCAAGGUAAAUAGAUACACAAAAAUAAUUCAACUUCAUCAAAACACAAGGUGGUCAAUCUACGCAAGUUCCAAGGUAAAUAGACACACAAAAGUAAUUCAACUUCAUCAAAACACAAGGUGAUCAAUCUACGCAAGUCUCAAGGGAAAAAAGGUCCGGUCCCUUAUUGAAGUAAAUGGCUAAGGGGUACUAGAGGCGUCAUGUACCUACCUGUGAGUGUGGAAUAAUUUCCCAAAGAAUAUUUAAAGAAAAGUUUAUCUCAGAAGGGCUUGUGUAUGGGGAGUGUAUCCACACAAAGCCACCUCGACAAGCCUCAUGCGCGUGCCUAAGGAUCCACGUACGGGUCCCCAGGGACGUCACCCUCGCUAUGCGAGCCCCACGUUGAGGAGUCAAGCUGAGGCGCGAGGACAGCCGCGCGAGGGUCAAUGAUGGGAAGGCAGUCGUGCGAGCGGCCACGGCGCGAGGGCUAAUGCGCGAGGGCCAAGGUGCGAGGGGCCUUGCUAUGGGAGGCCUAGCCACCCUCGUGAUGCGAGGGCCAUCGUGCGCAUGCACCCAGUGAGGCACCAAGGGUCUCGCAUGGUGAGACCGAUCCUCGAGCCUCGUGAACGCCCGAGUGUGCACAUGCCCUUCAUAGCCACUCUGUCAGGACCCUAGAGGCACCAAGAGCCUCACUAUGCGAGGGCCAUCAUGCGUAUUCACCCAACAAGGCACCAAGGGUAUCGCAUGGUGAGACCCAUCCUCGAUCCUCGUGAACUCCCGAGUGUGCACAUGCCCUUCAUAGCCGCUCCGUCCGGACCCUAGAGGCACCAAGGGCCUCGCUAUGCGAGGGCCAUCAUGUGUAUGCACCCAUCGAGGCACCAAGGGUCUCGCAUGGUGAGAUCCAUCCCUGAGCCUCAUGAACGCCCGAGUGUGCACAUGUCGUUCAUAGCCACUCCGUCCAGACCCUAGAGACACUUAGGGCCUCGCUAUGCGAGGGCCAUCGUGCCUAUGCACCCAGCAAGGUACAAAGGGUCUCGCUAAGUGAAUGGUGCCUCAUGCCACCUGCCUCGCAUCACCAGUAUUCGCCUCGCGCCACCUGCCUCACAUCACCAGCAUCUGCCUCGCGUUAUGCACCAUCUUGGAGGUUGGCUAGGUGAAGGCUGCCGAGAAGGCUCGUGCACCCCUGGACACCACACAGAGUCACAGUACCUCAUCAUGUUGCUCCAAAUAUAGUGACACUGCCUAUGGACCGAAGGCACUUCACCCGCAUGCAAAAUGUCCAAGGGCCUUUUUUCCAUGACGCCAGUGCAUGGAGGAGAGCCACACGUAGUGAGGGCUUCAUUGCCUCACCACGUGCCAUAUGUCCCUUGCUCCCCAAGUAGAGAAGGGGAGCUAGUAAGUGUGUCCAACACUUAGAAAAAUAUUAGAAGGUGAUGAGAGAAGAUGUAUUUUGGAGAUGGGAGAAGGACCUUCAAGUAUAGAGGACGUGAGCAGGGACAAUGUACCUGUACGUAUACGGGUGCAGAAUGUACAACCAUGAGGAGGACAAAGGCAUGACCCUGACAUCUGUAUCGUACAAGUAGUGGUGGUACGAAUUUGUACAAAGAGUGGAGGCACUACCUGUAUACCUCUGGCUAUGUACUAGGCCGACACCACCACCUUCUACUCCACUAUGACCUGUGCCACAACCCUAACAAUGUACCUAUGUACAAUCUGGUCCCCUGGGACCACGAUGUAUCAGGAGCCAUUAGAGCCCUAAAAUAAAUAGACAUUCACCCCUCCAGCAAGGGCAUUGGAAAAUUCAUUGUAUACUCAGGCUAUUAAGUAAUGCACAAACAUUGACUCCAUUGUUGAUCUAUGUUCAUUUUUCCUUGAAUCUAUUCUAAGUUCAUAUCCAGUUAUCUCCAUAUUUACCUUUGAGUUUUCUGACCUAACAUCGUUGACGAGUUUUCACCGUCAACAGUUUGGUGCUGUCUAUGGGAAGAACAAGCAUCAAGCCAAUGUUCUUUCAUCACUUCCAACAAAGAAAGAUGUUAAUGCAUUCAAAAUUCUUACGGCAACUAUAAGAUGAUGAGGUUCACCUGGACGGAGAACAACUGAGGGAUUCCAGGAAAGACCCUCCUCCGCCUAAGCAUGGAGGUAUGCCGGAGGAACCUCUUCCCCCAAGGGAGGAGAAGGAAGCAUCGUCCCCAGCUGUCCGACCCGACGGAGGUCAUUCAGAGCUGCCAGUGAACCCACAUCCCCGACCCCCAGUGGCACCACGCUCUGGCCACUAAGACCCAGGUCCAUUGACGCACAGGCCAGGCAAGAGUCCCUGAGUACACUCGGUGAGUUCUAGCUCAAGGACCCGCUUCUACGAGGAAGAGAUUCGCGAGUUACACAAAAAGAAUCAAAGGCUGGAAACCACGCUAAAAACACAUGCAGGAGGUUUUAAAUAACCUUCUGCAAGGAAAGUCAAGCACACCCCUUCCUAAGUGUAAAGAGAAAGAGUGUGAAAGAAAGGAAACCACUGUCCCCCUAGACGAGGGGAGAACCUGAAUUUCCACUAGCAACACUCCCCAGAUAAAGUACCAUGAGGGACCUAGGCCGACGAAGUACCCCCAGGAGCAAAGGCGGAGGGGCGACGAUGGUCGUAAGAACGAGGCCGAAGUCACCUCAAAAGAGGUUCCCCCUGGCCUAAGAGAAAAGCUCAAUGGGAAAAGGUCUGAAGUAAAAAUCACACCCCUCGCAGCUCCCCCGAGAGACACAACCAAAGCAAGGGUUAAGUCUGAGAACCCGCAAGACUCCUCAACCAAAAAGAGGAGGGAACUAGACAUCAAAAUGCAAAGCCCACGAGGCAAGAUUAUCACUGCACUUGGGGGGCACAAAGAUGAUGAAGAAUUUGACCAUGAUUCUCCCUUCACAAGGGAGAUCUAAGCUGAGCAAAUUCCCACCAGUUUCAAAGAGCCUCGCAUGACUCUGUACGAGGGUAGUACGGACCCAAAGUAUCAUUUAGAUUCCUUCAAUAACUUGAUGAGGUUAAGAGGGAUCAACAAUAGAGCAAAGUGCCAUUGCUUUGUCGUUACACUUAAAGGAGUUGCGUACAAGUGGUUUAAUAGGUUAAGGCCAGGAAGAAUCAAGUCAUGGCAGCAAUUCUCUGAUGAAUUUCUUCAGCAACACCAUGCAGUCUGUGAUUACGUUAUGCCAAUUACCAGCCUCGCUAACUUAAAACAAGGCGAGAAAGAAAGUUUGAAGAGCUAUGUCCAUAGGUUCAAUAUGGAAGCAAUAAGAUGGGAAGUUCAACUAAAGCGGAGCUCAAGAUGGAAAUUAUAGCCGGAGUUCGUCCGGGAAGCAAGUUAUGGGGGAACAUGCUCAAGAGAGAGGUUCCAAACUUAGAUGACUUCUUCGAAAGUACAUACGUGUGGAAGAGGUCCAUAAGAACUUAUAUGUUGAGAGAAGCGAACCUUCCUCCAAUCAUCCUCUGCCAAUACGUCUGAGGAUUCCGUGUAGAGGAAAAUGUUGUGAUGGGGGAGUCGUUGAACAAGUUGAAAAUUGGGAGAGGACUACAAAAAGGCUUCAAAGAAGAAGCUAGUAGGAUUCAUCAAACCGUCGCAAUCAGCCAAGGUCACCUAGCCCAAAAAGGGUCUCAAAGAAGAAUCUUACGAAAAUGGUCUUAAGGAAGACGCUUGUGAAAAUGGUCUUAAAGAAGACGCUUGUGAAAAGGGUCUCGAAGAAGACGCUUGUGAAAAGGGUCUCAAAGAAGACACUUGCAAAAAGGGUCUCGAAGAAGACACUUGCAAAAAUAGUACUAUGCAUAAUGACAGGAAGGAUGCUUCUCGCACAAAAUAAAACGCACGCGCAAAAAUAUAUAAAAGGAUACCGAGAACUCAAAGGGUCAACAUAUCCUUACAAGCAAUCAAGGUGCACCAACAGACACAAGUCACACACAAUAGAGAGGUCCCAAAGGGAACCAUUUCAAAAUAAAGGGGCUGCAAGAAAGAAUGGAAAAGGCACCCUUCACUCUGAAAUCUAACAAUCGCUAGAUAUGCGUAAAGCACCCGGGGUAACAGCUUAAGAGCACCACCUGAGAGAAAACCCCAUCCGAACGACACUUCUUUGGCUCUUUGGGUAAAGUGCCUCAAGAUUCAUCCUGCGACCCGACAUCUGCACCCUUGGGGUCUAUAUAGAAGAAUGAUUGAUGUUAAUUAAGCUUCAAAGGAGUCGUGAGGAUUGCUACUCACAAAAUAUGUUUUUCCAUAUCUUGUAAAUGGAGAAAAGCACUUGCACCAUGAAUGUCAAAGAGAUGGCACAAAAAAAAAAGGAAAGAGAAGAGUCUACAAGAACGCCUAAAGGCAUCCCUGUAGACUGAGGGGCAAGUAUUGAUGCCAAAAAUUCACCAGGGAAAAAAGGUCCGGUCCCUUAUUGAAGUAAAUGGCUAAGGGGUACUAGAGGCCUCAAGUACCUACGCGUGAGUGUGGAAUAAUUUCCCAAAGAAUAUUUAAAGAAAAUUUUAUCCUUGAAGGGCUUGUGUAUGGGGAGUGUAUCCAGACAAAGCCAUCUCGACAAGCCUCAUGCGCGUGCCUAAGGAUCCACGUACGAGUCCCCUGGGACGUCACCCUCGAUAUGCGAGGCCCAUGUUAAGGUAUCACGCUGAGGCGCGAGGGCAACCGCGUGAGGGGAAAUGAUGGGAAGGCAGUCGUGCGAGGUGCCACGACGCGAUGGCUGUUGCAUGAGAGCCAAGGCGCGAGGGGCCUUGCUACGCGAGGCCUGGCCUCCCUCGCUAUGCGAGGGCCAUCGUGCGUAUGCACCCAGCGAGGCACCAAGGGUUUUGCAUGGUGAGACCCAUCCCUGAGCCUCAUGAACGCCUGAGUGUGCACAUGCCCUUCAUAGCCGCUCCGUCCGAACCCUAGAGGCACCAAGGGCCUCGCUAUGCGAGGGCCAUCAUGUGUAUGCACCCAGCGAGGCACUAAGGGUCUCGCAUGGUGAGACCCAUCCCCGAGCCUCAUGAAUGCCUGAGUGUGCACAUGCCCUUCAUAACCGCUCUGUGCGGACCCUAGAGGCACCAAGUGCCUGGCUAUGCGAGGGCCAUCAUGCGUAUGCACCCAGCGAGGCACCAAGGAUCUCACAUGGUGAGACCCAUCCCUUAGCCUCGUGAACGCCCGAGGGCGCACAUGCCCUUCAUAGCCGCUCCUUCCAGACCCCAGAGACACCAAGGGCCUCGCUAUGCGAGGACCAUCGUGCGUAUGCACCCAGCGAGGCACAAAGGGUCUCGUGAAGUGAAUGGUGCCUCGCAUCACCAGCAUCGUCGUCAUGCUAUGCACUGUCUUGGAGGCUGGCUAGGUGAAGGCUGCCGAGAAGGCUCGUGCACCCCUGGACACCACAUGGAGCCAUAGCACCUCUUCAUGUUGCUUCAAAUAUAGUGACACCGCUUAUGGGCCGAAGGCACUUCGCUCGCAUGCAAAAUGUCCAAGGGCCUCUUUGUCAGGACGCCAGGGCAUGGUGGAGAGCCACACAUAGUGAGGAAUUCAUUGCCUCACCACAUGCCAUAUGUCCCUUGCUCCCCAAGUAGAGAAGGGGAACUAGUAAGUGUGUCCAACACUUAUAAAAAUAUUAGAAGGUGAUGAGAGAAGAUGUAUUUUGGAGAUGGGAGAAGGACCUUCAAGUACAGAGGAUGUGAGCAGGUACAAGGUACCUGUACGUAUACGGGUGCAGAAUGUACGACCAUGAGGAGGAUAGAGGCGCGACUCUGACAUCUAUAUCGUACAAGUAGUGGUGGUACGAAUUUGUACAAAGAGUGGAGGCACUACCUGUAUACCUCUGGCUAUGUACUAGGCCGACAUCACCACCUUCUGCUCCACUAUGACAUGUGCCACAACCCUGAAAAUGUACCUAUGUACAAUCUGGUCCCCUGGGACCACGAUGUAUCAUGAGCCAUUAGAGCCCCAAUAUAAAUAGACCUUCACCCCUCCAGCAAGGGAAUUGGAAAAUUCAUUGUAUACUCAGGUUAUUAAGUAAUGCACAAACAUUGACUCCAUUGUUGAUCUAUGUUCAUUUUUCCUUUAAUCUAUUCUAAGUUCAUAUCCAGUUAUCUCCAUAUUACCUUUGAGUUUUCCGACCUAACAUCGUUGACGAGUUUUCACCGUCAACAAUUAGCUUUUCGUAUUAACUUUAGUUCUGGAAGACAAGUAGAAAACAAGUUUUAGAUUACCAAAUAACAAAAAUAAAACCAUAAUGAGAGGAAUAUAUUGACAACCAAAAUGAGAAUUCUAAGAUUUUCGCUACGCCAACAACUGAAACUAAAGAAAGACUUACAAAGUCAGCGAGGCCAAGGCGUAAAUCUCGGAAGUGGGUUCAUUUGAGAUGUUCACAGCCUCUAGUCUGGUUUUGGUGUGAGAACAGGCGAGGUGAGAUGGUGCUAUGGUGGUCAGACGGUGGUGAGGCCUAAGUUGGGGUCGCGUCUGGGUUCGGGUCACCUGGCUUCGGGGUCGAGCGAGGAAGGCCGAGAUGGGCAUGGGUGAUUCUGAGAUGGUGAGGGAAUGACGAUGUGGAAUGACUUGUUUUGGGUGAGGGGAAAUGGAGCUGACGGGCGUGGGUGGGUGGAGUUUGUGGAGUGGUGGUGGGUUCCUUUGCCGAGAGAGAAAAAGAGGGGUCAAACGGUGUUGUCUCUUGUG